rnacentral:rRNA from 1 species
GCGCACCAGUCGCGAAAACUCCGCAAUACGCGAAAGCGUGACGGGGCCAUCCCGAGUGCCGUCCGCUGAGGAUGGCUUUUCCCUAGUGUAUAUAGCUGGGGGAAUAAGGAGAGGGCAAGUCUGGUGUCAGCCGCCGCGGUAAUACCAGCUCUUCGAGUGGUAGGGAUGUUUAUUGGGCCUGAAGCAUCCGUAGCUGGCUGUGCAAGUCCUCCGUUAAAUCCAGCGAUUUAAUCGUUGGAUUGCGGGGGAUACUGUGCGGCUAGGGGAGGGGAGAAGCCAACGGUAUUCCCGGGGUAGGGGUGAAAUCCUAUAAUCCCGGGAAGACAACCAGUGGCGAAGGCUGUUGGCUAGAACACGCCCGACGGUGAGGGAUGAAAGCUGGGGGAGCGAACCGGAUUAGAUACCCGCGUAGUAC